GAUGAACGCUGGCGGCGUGCCUAAUACAUGCAAGUCGAGCGAACGGACGAGAAGCUUGCUUCUCUGAUGUUAGCGGCGGACGGGUGAGUAACACGUGGAUAACCUACCUAUAAGACUGGGAUAACUUCGGGAAACCGGAGCUAAUACCGGAUAAUAUCUUGAACCGCAUGGUUCAAAAGUGAAAGACGGUCUUGCUGUCACUUAUAGAUGGAUCCGCGCUGCAUUAGCUAGUUGGUAAGGUAACGGCUUACCAAGGCAACGAUGCAUAGCCGACCUGAGAGGGUGAUCGGCCACACUGGAACUGAGACACGGUCCAGACUCCUACGGGAGGCAGCAGUAGGGAAUCUUCCGCAAUGGGCGAAAGCCUGACGGAGCAACGCCGCGUGAGUGAUGAAGGUCUUCGGAUCGUAAAACUCUGUUAUUAGGGAAGAACAUAUGUGUAAGUAACUGUGCACAUCUUGACGGUACCUAAGCAGAAAGCCACGGCUAACUACGU
rnacentral:rRNA from 1 species